GAUGAACGCUGGCGGCGUGCCUAAUACAUGCAAGUCGAGCGAACGGACGAGAAGCUUGCUUCUCUGAUGUUAGCGGCGGACGGGUGAGUAACACGUGGAUAACCUACCUAUAAGACUGGGAUAACUUCGGGAAACCGGAGCUAAUACCGGAUAAUAUUUUGAACCGCAUGGUUCAAAAGUGAAAGACGGUCUUGCUGUCACUUAUAGAUGGAUCCGCGCUGCAUUAGCUAGUUGGUAAGGUAACGGCUUACCAAGGCAACGAUGCAUAGCCGACCUGAGAGGGUGAUCGGCCACACUGGAACUGAGACACGGUCCAGACUCCUACGGGAGGCAGCAGUAGGGAAUCUUCCGCAAUGGGCGAAAGCCUGACGGAGCAACGCCGCGUGAGUGAUGAAGGUCUUCGGAUCGUAAAACUCUGUUAUUAGGGAAGAACAUAUGUGUAAGUAACUGUGCACAUCUUGACGGUACCUAAUCAGAAAAGCACGGCUAACUACGUGCCAGCAGCCGCGGUAAUACGUAGGUGGCAAGCGUUAUCCGGAAUAUUUGGCGUAAAGCGCGCGUAGGCGGUUUUUUAGUCUGAUGUGAAAGCCCACGGCUCAACCGUGGAGGGUCAUUGGAAACUGGAAAACUUGAGUGCAGAAGAGGAAAGUGGAAUUCCAUGUGUAGCGGUGAAAUGCGCAGAGAUAUGGAGGAACACCAGUGGCGAAGGCGACUUUCUGGUCUGUAACUGACGCUGAUGUGCGAAAGCGUGGGGAUCAAACAGGAUUAGAUACCCUGGUAGUCCACGCCGUAAACGAUGAGUGCUAAGUGUUAGGGGGUUUCCGCCCCUUAGUGCUGCAGCUAACGCAUUAAGCACUCCGCCUGGGGAGUACGACCGCAAGGUUGAAACUCAAAGGAAUUGACGGGGACCCGCACAAGCGGUGGAGCAUGUGGUUUAAUUCGAAGCAACGCGAAGAACCUUACCAAAUCUUGACAUCCUUUGACAACUCUAGAGAUAGAGCCUUCCCCUUCGGGGGACAAAGUGACAGGUGGUGCAUGGUUGUCGUCAGCUCGUGUCGUGAGAUGUUGGGUUAAGUCCCGCAACGAGCGCAACCCUUAAGCUUAGUUGCCAUCAUUAAGUUGGGCACUCUAAGUUGACUGCCGGUGACAAACCGGAGGAAGGUGGGGAUGACGUCAAAUCAUCAUGCCCCUUAUGAUUUGGGCUACACACGUGCUACAAUGGACAAUACAAAGGGCAGCGAAACCGCGAGGUCAAGCAAAUCCCAUAAAGUUGUUCUCAGUUCGGAUUGUAGUCUGCAACUCGACUACAUGAAGCUGGAAUCGCUAGUAAUCGUAGAUCAGCAUGCUACGGUGAAUACGUUCCCGGGUCU
rnacentral:rRNA from 1 species